rnacentral:rRNA from 1 species
UACGGAGGAUGCGAGCGUUAUCCGGAUUUAUUGGGUUUGAAGGGUGCGUAGGCGGACUGUCAAGUCAGCGGUAAAAUUGAGAGGCUCAACCUCUUCCCGCCGUUGAAACUGGUGGUCUUGAGUGGAUGAGAAGUACGCGGAAUGCGUGGUGUAGCGGUGAAAUGCAUAGAUAUCACGCAGAACUCCGAUUGCGAAGGCAGCGUACCGGCAUCCAACUGACGCUGAGGCACGAAAGCGUGGGGAUCAAACAGG